rnacentral:rRNA from 1 species
GACGAACGCUGGCGGCGUGCCUAAUACAUGCAAGUCGAGCGGAUCUUUGAGAGCUUGCUCUCAAAGAUUAGCGGCGGACGGGUGAGUAACACGUGGGUAACCUGCCUGUAAGAUUGGGAUAACUCCGGGAAACCGGAGCUAAUACCGGAUAACAUUUUGAACCGCAUGGUUCGAAAUUGAAAGGUGGCUUUUGCUACCACUUACAGAUGGACCCGCGGCGCAUUAGCUAGUUGGUGAGGUAAUGGCUCACCAAGGCAACGAUGCGUAGCCGACCUGAGAGGGUGAUCGGCCACACUGGGACUGAGACACGGCCCAG